UACGGAGGGUGCAAGCGUUGUCCGGAAUUAUUGGGCGUAAAGAGCACGUAGGUGGCGACUCAAGUCUCACUGUGAAAGUCUGCGGCUCAACCGCAGGAGGCCAGGGGAUACUGAGUUGCUAGAGACAGGUAGAGGCCAGCGGAAUUCCGGGUGUAGCGGUGGAAUGCGUAGAGAUCCGGAAGAACACCAGUGGCGAAGGCGGCUGGCUGGGCCUGUUCUGACACUGAGGUGCGAAAGCGUGGGGAGCAAACAGG
rnacentral:misc_RNA from 1 species